AUGAACGCUGGCGGCGUGCCUAAUACAUGCAAGUCGAGCGAACGGACGAGAAGCUUGCUUCUCUGAUGUUAGCGGCGGACGGGUGAGUAACACGUGGAUAACCUACCUAUAAGACUGGGAUAACUUCGGGAAACCGGAGCUAAUACCGGAUAAUAUUUUGAACCGCAUGGUUCAAAAGUGAAAGACGGUCCUGCUGUCACUUAUAGAUGGAUCCGCUCUGCAUUAGCUAGUUGGUAAGGUAACGGCUUACCAAGGCAACGAUGCAUAGCCGACCUGAGAGGGUGAUCGGCCACACUGGAACUGAGACACGGUCCAGACUCCUACGGGAGGCAGCAGUAGGGAAUCUUCCGCAAUGGGCGAAAGCCUGACGGAGCAACGCCGCGUGAGUGAUGAAGGUCUUCGGAUCGUAAAACUCUGUUAUUAGGGAAGAACAUAUGUGUAAGUAACUGUGCACAUCUUGACGGUACCUAAUCAGAAAGCCACGGCUAACUACGUG
rnacentral:rRNA from 1 species